rfam:Aspergillus glaucus CBS 516.65 unplaced genomic scaffold ASPGLscaffold_12, whole genome shotgun sequence.
GGGCUUGUGGUUUAGUGGUAUAAUUCCUCAUUCGCAUUGAGGAGGUCCCGGGUUCGAUUCCCGGCGAGUCCA